rnacentral:misc_RNA from 1 species
GAUGAAGAACGUAGCAAAAUGCGAUACUUGGGGUGAAUUGCAGAAUCCCGUGAACCAUCGAGUUUUUGAACGCAAGUUGCGCCCGAAGCCUUUUGGCCGAGGGCACGUCUGCCUGGGCGUCACGCAUCGCGUCGCCCCCCACAAUUCUCCGUAAAGGGAACGUGUGUUUUGGGGGCGGAUAUUGGUCUCCCGUGCUCAUGGCGUGGUUGGCCGAAAUAGGAGUCCUUUCGAUGGACGCACGAACUAGUGGUGGUCGUAAAAACCCUCGUCUUUUGUUUCGUGCUGUUGCUCGCAAGGUAAACUCUUUAAAAACCCCAAUGUGUCGUCUCUUGACGACGCUUCGACCGCGACCCCAGGUCAGGCGGGACUACCCGCUGAGUUUAAGCAUAUCAAUAAGCGGAGGA